rnacentral:rRNA from 1 species
GACGAACGCUGGCGGCGCACCUAAGACAUGCAAGUCGAACGCAGAGGGGGGACCCUCUGAGUGGCGGACGGGUGAGUAACACGUAGCGAACCUGUCCUGGAGCGGGGGAUAGCCCGGGGAAACGCGGGGUAAUCCGCCAUACGCUCCUGCGGGGAGGGUCCGCGGGAGGAAAGGGGAGCGAGGCUUCUCACUCCAGGAGGGGGCUGCGGCGGAUUAGCUAGUUGGUGGGGUAGCGGCCCACCAAGGCUGCGAUCCGUAGCUGGUCUGAGAGGACGGC